UGGGGAAUUUUGGACAAUGGGGGCAACCCUGAUCCAGCAAUGCCGCGUGUGUGAAGAAGGCCUUCGGGUUGUAAAGCACUUUUGUCCGGAAAGAAAACGUCGUGGUUAAUACCCGUGGCGGCUGACGGUACCAGAAGAAUAAGCACCGGCUAACUACGUGCCAGCAGCCGCGGUAAUACGUAGGGUGCAAGCGUUAAUCGGAAUUACUGGGCGUAAAGCGUGCGCAGGCGGUCCGCUAAGACAGAUGUGAAAUCCCCGGCUUAACCUGGGAACUGCAUUUGUGACUGGCGGGCUAGAGUAUGGCAGAGGGGGUAGAAUUCCACGUGUAGCAGUGAAAUGCGUAGAGAUGUGGAGGAAUACCGAUGGCGAAGGCAGCCCCCUGGGCCAAUACUGACGCUCAUGCACGAAAGCGUGGGGAGCAAACAGGAUUAGAUACCCCUGGUAGUCCACGCCCUAAACGAUGUCAACUAGUCGUCGGGUCUUCAUUGACUUGGUAACGUAGCUAACGCGUGAAGUUGACCGCCUGGGGAGUACGGUCGCAAGAUUAAAAACUCAAAAGGAUUGNCGGGGUCAUGCUGUUUCCUG
rnacentral:rRNA from 1 species